GUCCCUUUGGGGACAUCCGAUAAAAUUGGAACGAUACAGAGAAGAUUAGCAUGGCCCCUACGCAAGGAUGACAACCCUAAACCCUAAACCCUAAACCCUGAA